UAUUUUUCUUCCUAAAAAACAAAAUAAUGUACUUCCUACGUUGAUUGAAAUUAUUAUGAGGUGUUAUAGUGGUGUAUUUUCUAGUCCUGAUAGAAAGAGAAUUGAGUACUAAAUUUUGUCUUGGACAUUUAUUUUAAACUAAGGACAACUAAUAAUAUUUAUGCUAUUCUAGUAUAUAUAUUUAGCGGUAUAACCGAUAAAUGAUUUUUUUUUUUGUAUGUAUGCAUUUAUACUUGGAUUACCUUUAAGUUUUUUUGUAUUCUGUUGACAUAAAUUAUUUCUAAUUUUUGAACUGAGUAAAUUUAUUAGUGCCUAAUCUAUAAGUUUUUCUUAUAUAUAUCGCCGGGCUAAUUCCCAAUCGUUGUAAUUCCAAAAUGGCGAUUUUGAGAUUAUUACAUAUAAUAGGAAAUAUUAAUAUAUCAUUUAAGAAUAUUUCCACUUUUAUCAGACAAUUAAUUUUCAAUGAAAUGAAUUUAUUUGUAUGGAUGACCAAAAUGAAGUACUAUGGUAUUAUGAAUCAGUUUUUUUUAUCUCCUGAAAAGAAGUCAAUUUAGAGUUGAAACAAUAGUGAAUUAGGCAGACGUAUUAUGAUAUUGUAAUAUAUAGGUAAGUUAUAAUGAAAAAAUAUCACUGUAAAGCCAAUAUAUUCCUCGCUCAACUCUAAAUCUAAAAUUUAAAUAACUACUGUUGGUAUACUCAUGAACUGAAUUUAAACAAUUACACAUUCAAAAUGUCUUGAAUUUACUCUAGUUAUACAAGAUAAUUCUAUUAAUACAAACCAUCAACAAAAAUUUGAAAAGUAAAUUUGAUUUUGGGUUUCUUUAAACAUUUUUCGUUGUUUUUUGACAAGCCAGUUCGAAUUUCACAUUUUACUAACUUCGAGUGAAACUUUAAAGCCAUAAAUCUUUUAAUUUUAUGAAAAAAAGGUUGAGUUUGGUAAUAAAUCUACUUCAAUCUCUAUAACCCAGCCCUUAAUAGGUUAAUUUGGUAGAAUGAAAUUAUCUGAAACUCAUUUUAAUAACUGCAUUUACUGUACUGAUUAAUCACAAUCUCUUUGGAUUUAUAAUGAUUGAUAAGUUGAUGAAUAAAUAUAUCUAUGGAUUUAUGUAAAAAUGAAUCGAGUAUAUUAUCUGUGGUGAAAUUAUUUUACGGCGUUAAAUAUUAUAUAUUUUACUGUUUUAUGUUUAACAAUUACCGAAGGUAUGUAAGUAUUAGUUAAAGUUAAAAUUCAAAUAAAUUUUUUGAUAUAACACAUUGGUGCAAGUAACAGUUCGUAAUUGUUUACGUUUUUUUUUGUGCAAGUAAACAAUUUUUAAGUUGAAGAUUUGUUUUAAUCAUUAAGAGGAUGUUAUACAUGCAUUUGUUGUUUCUGUCUUACACUCUUUCGCAGAAUACGCUUAGAACUCCGCUUAGUUUUGGUUUUAAAGUAAAAGCAUCUAU